rnacentral:rRNA from 1 species
UAAUAGCGUAUAUUAAAGUUGUUGCGGUUAAAAAGCUCGUAGUUGGAUUUCGGAAUCUAUACGUUCGGUCCGGCGUUAAGCCGCGAACUGUCUGUUGGGUUCUUCUGUCUGGAGACUUUGGACUUCAUCUUAGUUGAUGGGUCCUAGGGAUCUAGGACUUUUACUUUGAACAAAUUAGAGUGUUUAAAGCAGGCAAUCGCCUGAAUACAUUAGCAUGGAAUAACCGAAUAGGACUUUGGUUCUAUUUUGUUGGUUUUAAGGACCAAAGUAAUGAUUAAUAGGGAUAGUUGGGGGCAUUAAUAUUUAAUUGUCAGAGGUGAAAUUCUUAGAUUUAUGAAAGAUUAACUUCUGCGAAAGCAUUUGCCAAGGAUGUUUUCAUUAAUCAAGAACGAAAGUUAGGGGAUCGAAGAUGAUCAGAUACCAU